CAUUUAUGAUAUGUGAAUAAGAUUAGAUGUUCUGAGUAGCAAAGUACUCGAAUUGGAUAAUCACCAGGCCAUCCGAUCAUAGGAGCAAGUAGGGUUACAUGACCCUCUCUUUUCAUUCAAUGGGGUGCUCUUCAUAGCAUGUAGGGGUGCCACUAUGAGGUCUCAUGAAGAAGAAAGCGAAAAGAGAAAACUUAUUUUCUUGCAAAAUCUUAGAUCUUGAAAUCUUAGGUGUUGUUGUAUGUGAUACAAGUUGCGAAGAAACUAGUUA
rnacentral:lncRNA from 1 species